UAUUAACUUAAUUUAAACAACGUUCAUAUUAAAAUAAAUACAUAACAACAAAUUCGUUACAACUUUUAGAUAAUUUUUGAGAAGAGAAAUGCCAAUUCAUCGUUUUACUCACCCCUGUACACUUGUACGCAAUGUAUCGCCCUCUUGAAUGCAGAUAGGUGCUCAUUCUCUUCAUUUGUCAUUUAUCCAUUAUUAGAAAAUAGUGGUUCAGUGAUUAUGAAGUGAAAUUAUUGACGGAUCAUGGUGUUACUGUUAGGUAUUAGGACAUUGUGAAUUAAUGUGUUCAAACAAAAUGUGCUUAUUUUGCGGACAACUUGAAAGCUCUCAAAUACCUUUAAUUUUAAACAAGUUAUCACCAUUUUGAUAUUCAACUUCAAGGUAAGGGAUGUAGGAAUGGUAAAGACUACAACUACAACUGUAUUUGUAUAGCUGAACGAUGUUUUCCUGAUAACAAUGACAUUGAAAGCUUGUGACGUUGUAAUGUGGAUUUCUAUCAGAUUUUUGGUCUGAUGCAGGAUAAUGUUUGCAUUCACACUGCCAGGAUUGAGAUUUACUGCCUUGAACAAGAAGUUAUAGAGAUCAGUCAUUGGUCAAUAAGAAUUCCUUAUCUAAAUCCCAUGCCACAUAUCUUGAUAAUGUAUUGACUGAGAAGCAAGAAAAGAUCUCUCAUAACAUUGGCCACACACUGAUUGGAAGCAGGCCUCACAAAUCAGAAAUUCUGCCAAUGCUGAAGGGCCUUGUUACUGAAUGUCUUUUUUUUCAAAUGUGUGUCUUUCAGAUAAGUGAAUUCAGUCAGACCCUAACUCUUACCACAUUUAAUAUGAGAUUACUGAUGCUCCUAGGGUUUCAAUAAGUGAUGGUGAUGUGUAUUAUCAAUGAAACUGAUAUAUCCUGUGAAUAAAAUCUAGAUUAUUUUGGAGGAAUAUUAUAAUAAAUGCACCAUAUACAAUGUACCAAAAAUGUUUCACUUUAUUAAGUUCUUCAACUGUGUGUUAAUGGCUUUCAAGUAUUUCAAUGCAUAGAUUACAAAAAAUGUUAUAAAAUUUAAAAAAUUCAUUAUAUUUACAAAAAAGGAAAAUUAUUUUUCUAUACUAAAAAAAGCCUGAAAAGAUCAAAAUUUAAAUUCAAGCUAUAAAACUUUGGGAGAAAAUGUCUGUGAAAAGAGAUGUACAGGGUUUUAUGUUAAAGUCCAUAAGGUAAGGAAUGUUAUUAUACUAUUCUACUGAUCUAUAUACUUAUCCACACAAUCAUAACCCCCCUUUUAUUAAAGCUUCUACAUAUGAACCUAAGGAUUUGAAUAGCCUUAACCCGAUGACUACCGGCUACUAACUAAUACAAAAUGGAAAGAGAUUUACAAAACAGAGGACCCGAAAGAAAUAUUGAACCUGACCUAUCAAAGCUGUUCUAAAGGGUAAGCCAAAUCCAUAGACAGUCAGAAACACUAUUAUAACAUGAAGGUCAAGGGUCAAUAUUUCAAGAUUGGACAGAAGGUUUUAGUUCUGUUACCUACAGACAACAACAAACUCACCUAGCAGUGCAAAGGAUCUUUCACAGUACAGGAAGUGGUAAGCAAAUGCACUAUAAUGUGAAAGUCAAUGGAACAACCAUGUCUACCAUACCAAUCUGUUGAAGAGGUAAUUAAACAAUAUUUGCAUGCUUUGCUAAAAUUUUUGAAUAAAAAUGGGUAUAUAUAUAGAAUGUUGGGAAUUGUGUAUCCAGAGCUCUUAAUAGCAGCAACAUCAAAUCAGAGUGAACUAAGGUAAUUUGCAUACAUAUUUUUAUAAGUAUUUUAUUAGCUUAGGUGCUUAAAAAAAUUCAACCCUUUAUUUUAUACUGUUUUUUUUAUCACAAUACUUUGACUUGACAGCAACAGUUAAAAGAUAAAAAUUGUAUCAUUUUCAUGAUUAAGUCUGUAUAAUCACCUAAAUUACUAAUUUAUUUAUUUUUACUAGAUACUAAUGUAAUAAUCUAACAACUUUACAGAUAAAAAUAGUAACCACAGUAAACUGGAGGACUGACAAUAAGUUUAUUGUUUGAUUAAGAAUGAAAUUUUGAUUUGACUGGAUUGAAGAAGAGAGACUGAAUACAAUGUUGAAUACAGUAAAACCUAUCUUUAGUCAAAGCAAUACAGACCAAAAUAAUUUGUGCAUGAAAUGUCAUACAGUGGUUAUAGAUGACAGGAAGAGAAGUUUGAAUUCCCAAUUAUUUCAAAGAGAUUCUGUUGUAGAUUGAAUGUAAAAAUGGACAUAAACUUUUUCUAUUUUUCAGGCUUGAAAUUGGUUUACUUCUAUGUAACAAUGUAAAAUUCAAAUCAUUUAUAGAACAAGUUGAAAAUACUAUUUUGUCAAAAUUGCUGUCAAUUUUUUAUCACUACUGGAAAAUUGCUAUUCCAAAUGGUCUGUCUUGGAGAAAUUCCAAAAGAGAGCCAUUUCUUUUUUUAUGUGUGUAUGUGUGAUUUCAACCACAGCUCUAGUGGUAUUUCAUUAUUAUGUCAGUUAGACUGGCCACUUUUAGUUUCAUAACAAAAUGCACAUAUCUUCUGUUAUUACUCAUGUUGAGGUAAUGGAAGAGUUAAUUCAUGUUGUUAGUUUUAUAUAAUGAAACUUUCAGUUUUUGCCAUUUCCUCUGUAAUAAACUUGUGAUAGAAUUUAAAACAUUUCCAUUCUUAACGUUAUAGACAAGAACUUUCUUUCUUAUUAUCUUGGCAAUGAUUCAUUUUAAUAGUUUUCUUCCUUCCUAGAUUCAGUAUCUACUGAUCAUCGAGUACUAAUAUUUAAUUUUAUCUCACUUGUUUACAUUAAGAAAUAUUUGCAAUAUUUUCAUAGUCAAGGACAGAGAGGAAUCAUAGUGCAUUAUACUUCAUUUAGAUUUGUCAGCAAGGCUGUUACCAGUAACUCUGUGGAUAUUUUGAACAAUUUGAUUUAAUAUAAUUGACCCUUUUUAAAUAUCUGCACAUAAAUACAUUCUCUCAAGUAAUUUUGUAUCUCUGUCAUAGAACAAAUUAGAAAAAGUAAUAGAUAACACAGUAUUAUGUAAAGGUGACAUGUUUAGCAUUUAUAGAUUUCUCAUUUCACCAUUGAGAAUUUAGUAUUUCUGCCAUUGAGAGUGAAUGUAGUAUUCAUCGCCUAUUUUCCUGUACAUUUUAUAUCAAUGGAGAUCUGCAUACUUCAAUUUUAAUAAAGGUGGUGUUAUUUUGGAAAAUAUGGUGAAAGAUGGUCACAUCAUCACAUUCCAAACAGCUUAUGUGUACCCAGUUUCUGAAACCUAAAAUAAAAUAAAGUUACUAAGGAGAAUGUUAUUGUGAUCCAAAAUAUUCUCAAAAUCUUAGUAAGUAUAAAAAUCUUGCUUCUAAGGUACAGAGACUUUAAAAGAAUGUGAUUCUGAAGAAUGAAGAAUAUUCUGGGAAUAUUUGCUGUGUAUGAGGAUUUUGUAUCUGUUACAGUUUUCCUUAAUAUAUGAAUUGUGGAUUUUGCAAAAAAUAAAAAAGUUGAAUUUGUUUGUGGACUUAUGGCUGAGCUAGGCUGGUUUUGGAUAAUUCUUUUCUUCAUCAAUAAAAACCAAACAACAGGGUCUUUUCUUGUGGUUAACUGUGGUCCAUUUGUAAUGUUCUUUACUCACUACAAGUGGCCUAUUCUAAUAUAGGUAAUGUUAUACACUUACCAGAUGCCAAUUGUGGCAGGAACAAAUCUUUAUAUAAUUAGUGUGUGUUGUUAAUAUUAUAAAAUUUUCUUUUAUAACAAAUGCUAGAUUGUGUAAUUUUAUCUACAGAGAGAAAUACCUUAAAUAACAUAUUUUAUGAGGAGUAGUAAGCAGUGCCCCUCAUUCUGUAAAUUUUCUACAGAGUUACAAAUAUGUAUGUAUGCUUAUCUAUCUAGUUGAAGAUCGUAUAAGGUAAGUGUUUUAUAAUAUUUGUUCAAGGCUAGAUCCCAUCUUCCUAAUAUUUAUAUUACCAAUUUAGUUAGAUGAUUUUCUUCUUGGAAACUUAUCAUUACACCAGGUGUUUGCAUUUGUGUUUGUUCAUGGGAUAAUAGCCCAGUCAGGCUUGGCCUUGUAUUGGUGUAAAAUGUAUUAUCCUUGUGAAUCUGAUUACCUCCACAAGAACUAAAGAAUGAAUGUGAAAAAAGGUGGCAUUAUAUUACAGUAGGAUUUUUAAAUUUUAAAUAUAUAUAUAUAUAUUUACUGUAAUUUUAAUAAUGUUAUAUUUCUUACAAAAACAUGUCACCAUAAAUGGGUUAGAGAUGAAAAAAAAGAAGAGUUUAAAAUCCAUGUGUCAUGCUUGUUUAAGCUUAGAUAAGGUUUUAGUAGUCAAUAUCCUCUCAGUCUGGUCAUGUGAUCCUUCUUCCUUUGAUGAUGAACAAUAUAAACUAGGUUGAAUCAGAUCUGAAUGUUGUUGCUGUAGUAGCUCUUUGAGUGCCACAUUUUGGUAGUUACAUAACCAACAAAUUUAUUAUGUAGUGUUUAAGUUUAUAAGCUUUUGAUUUUUUUCAAGGAACUAGUUUAUGUUUUUUCUUUACUGAGAGAUUUCAGAAAAGAAAGGUAGGUUUGAAUUAUUAUUUUUUUAGUAAAAUAAAAGUUUAUUAGGCCUUAAAAGGUAAAAAACAACAAGAUAUUUGUAUUAUAGUUGCAUUAUAUAUUGAGAUACAUGAUUUUAGACCUGCAUAUAUUAUUAUAGUUUGAUCUACCCAGAUUUACAUGUAAAUCAUACAUGCAUUAUGUCUGUUCACUUCCUUUGAAUUAUUAUUUUGUCAGUAAAAUGAAAAUUCAUAAUUCCAUAAAAAGUAAAAAUAAACCACAUAUUCCUCAUCACUGCCACAGUUUUACUUUUCUAAUGGGAGGGUAACAAACAUUAGAGAAAUGGAAAAAAUUAAAAAUCCAUCAUAAACAUAGAACUAGGAGUUUAUGCAUACAAACAGCAUACUUGGUACACAUGUUGGAAAUUGUAUAACAGUAUUUACAAAAAAAUUGAAGAUUUAUUUCAAUGUACAUAAGAAGGGUUUCUUUUCUAUUGUUAUUCAACUAAUUCAACAGAAAGUAUAUAAUUCUGUUUCAAAUAAUCAAUACAAAAAUUAAACUUGUCCAUAUUUAUUCAAACACAGACACAAUUUGAAAAGCUCCUAAUAAGACCUUAUUGCAGACUAACUAAAACGUGAUGAUGAUGAUGAUUGUUUAUAGUAAUCUUGCAUAGUUUUCAAUGUGUCCACAUUUAUUUAUGUUACAGAGUCAGUCAUAUUGUUGUAGUUCUUGUGAUGACAAGCAAUCAGUGUGGGUACUUAAAUUUAUGAAUUUAACAUUAAAUCCUUUUUGUUCUAUAGUAUGUUACUUUGCAAUUCUGUUAAAUUAUUAGUACAAUAGUAGUAAUUGCAAGAUUUAUUUAUAUAACUGAACUUAAACUUGAAGAUCUGCAGUGCCUUGUCUAUUAUAUUUAGAUUAUAUAUUCAGAUAUACGGUUUUAGACAUGCAUAUAUUAUUAUAAUGUGAUCUACUCAGAUGUUUAUACAUGCAUUGUGUUCACUUCCUUUUUAAUGAUAUGUACAUGUAAACUAGAUCAUGCAUGCUUCCUUUUCCAUGAUUCUGAUACUGUACACUUGAGUUGCAUGUAUAUACAAAUAUUUUAGCAGGUUUGUAACUUGAAAACAUAUGGGUGCCAUGUUUGUUCAAAAACUAAUACACUUCCAAUCUUUACAGGAUGUUCAAUAUUUUUUUUUUAUAUUGAACAUGCACAAUAUAAUAAAGUUUUAAUGUGUAUGUGAUGUAAGUUUUCGUGAAACACUGUCAUCAUUCAGGUUUCAAAAUUUAGCACUUCUUUUUAUCCCUUAAUUACCAAUCUAUUAUUUUGGAAAGAUUAACAGUUCAGUUUUCAUGUUCAUUGUUUAUGAUUUACAUGUAUAGGUGUUUGCAUUACAGAAUUCAAAUUUGAAACUUUUACCACAGACUGCAAUAUCUUCUUAUGGUACAUGAAAUAUGAAUGAGCAUUUAAGUGUCUUGUAUACUAUACACAUUCAAUUGAUAUGAAAACAUGUUCAGAAGUUUCCCCAAAACCACUAUGGUGCAAGUAAUUUAAAGAUAAAUAUAUUGGAAAAUACUAACACAACAAAGAAACAACAGAAAACAGUAGUCAUUUUGCUUUAAAAUAAUAUAUAUUUUUUAUUUAAUGUGUAUUUCAUGUUAGGUUUGUUUGUUUUUUCCAUUUAGUGAUCUGUGGGACCAUUAUCAAUCAAUCUUUGUAGUUUUUCUCUAAGAAGUAUAGAGAACACUUAACAGCUACAUGAGGAUAUGAAUACAUGUAAAACUGCACCAAGUUAAAAAGUAAAAACAUGAAUUUUCAUUGGCAGGGUUUUAAGAGAGUAGCAAUACAAAGAAUAUAUUAUGCCGUUAUGUCAUUCAUGGAAUCUUUCCGAUUUUAACAUAACUUAAAAUUACUGAAUCUAUGUUUUAGCAUUUCUGAAUCAAUAGUUAUAGGAUUGCCAUUUAGAAAAGAAAAUGUAUUUAUAUUGAAUUUUAUUUAAAAAAAUACCAUUUGAAGAAAACAAUUCAAUAUAAUUAAAUGUUUAUACUAAAAACAGAAUGUAAAUAUGACUUAUAUUGUUUUGGUCCUAACUUUUAAAAUAUUUGUUUGAAUUUGUUUCGUGAAACUGUAUGUGCAUUGUAAUACAUUUCCAUUGUAGCAUUCAGAUGAGUGUUCAAUAUGAUGUAAACACUUUUGAACAUAAUUGCAGGAAACUAUUGUUGUGUUGUGAAUUUUGUUUAAUAAAAGGAAUGUGAUUGUAAGUUUCUAAAUAAA